rnacentral:rRNA from 1 species
GAUGAACGCUGGCGGCGUGCCUAAUACAUGCAAGUCGAGCGAACAGACGAGGAGCUUGCUCCUCCGACGUUAGCGGCGGACGGGUGAGUAACGCGUGGAUAACCUACCUAUAAGACUGGGAUAACUUCGGGAAACCGGAGCUAAUACCGGAUAAUAUAUUGAACCGCAUGGUUCAAUAGUGAAAGACGGUUUUGCUGUCACUUAUAGAUGGAUCCGCGCCGCAUUAGCUAGUUGGUAAGGUAACGGCUUACCAAGGCGACGAUGCGUAGCCGACCUGAGAGGGUGAUCGGCCACACUGGAACUGAGACACGGUCCAGACUCCUACGGGAGGCAGCAGUAGGGAAUCUUCCGCAAUGGGCGAAAGCCUGACGGAGCAACGCCGCGUGAGUGAUGAAGGUCUUCGGAUCGUAAAACUCUGUUAUUAGGGAAGAACAAAUGUGUAAGUAACUAUGCACGUCUUGACGGUACCUAAUCAGAAAGCCACGGCUAACUACGUG